UAGACAAGUUCAACGUAUAUUAAGACAGAUUUUUCAAUCAUAACGAAUAGACCAGAAACAUGUACAAUUAAAAAUAUACAUGCAUGGGUAGAUUUUAGGAAUAGUUAUAUUAAAGCUAAUUGAGUCAUUUUCCACAAGUUACUUUUACAUUAUCAUGGUGGGUACAGUGUUAUAGAAGAACAUGCUUCAGUAGUGCCACAUGGUAAUCAAAAGGAUAUAUAUACAUAUAAUAUUAACUCCAGUUUGAGUGAUAACUUCUAAAGCAUCAAGAGAAGACAUCAUAUCACUAUUGCGACUCAAACUUGCAGUGGUUGGAGAAUUUUCAGCAGCGGCAUUAUAUUCCUAAUGGACAAGAAGAAGAUGGGAGAUAUUAUAUUGUGUUCAUGAGAUGGUUUUAGUGACUGCUUGAAAUUUGCAUAAUAUAUCUAUGUGUUCUCAACCUAUGGAAGGCUCAUAGGCAUAGCUAAAUUCUCAAGAUGAUGUAAUCUUACAAUUGUAGCAAAGUAGCAAAGUUAUAGGUAGAAACAAGAUCAAAUAAGUAGUCUUCUCAUUAAAGGUUCAUGUUGAUUUUUUAACAAAGGCAGUGUUUAUUUAUCUCAUUAAUAGUACUACUUACAAAUAUAAUAUUGGGGGUAGUGCUGAAAUGAGAUGGGUUUAAGGUGCAAAAUACUUUUCAAAAUUUUAAUUAACUAAUUUUUAAAAAGAUUUAAUUAUAAUUAUUAAUUAAUUAUGUAAAAAUAUUAAAUAAUAAAUCAUCCUAAUCAUCAUUAAAAAUAGAUUAUCCUAGUCAGUGAUUCGACGUAAUUAAAAAUAAUUUUUAAAUCCUAAUCAUCACUACCACUUAUACAAAAGUAGAUGGGGCCACAAAAAUCUAAAAAGCAUCAAAAUUGAGGGAUCAAAAUAGCCGGUUUUAUAAUAAGAGGAUCGAUUAUUUAAAACGUUCAAACUAGGGGGACCAAAAGUGCAUUUAAGCCAAAAUAUAUGAAAGUUUUAGUGAUUAAUCUAUGGAUUGAAGCAAACUUUUAAAAGUUGAAAACUUUAUUUUGAUGAAAAUGCAAGGUAAUUUGGAUUCAUUAAAAAUGAAUAUGAACAUUGUGUUUACAAGAAAUUUUAUGAGAGCAUAACAAUAAUUUUGGUGUUAUAUGUGGAUGACAUCUUACUCAUCAGAAGUGGCAUCCCUACCUUGCAAUAAGUUAAAACUUGGUUGGAAAAUUUAUUUUCUAUGAAAGAUUUAGGUGAAUCUACAAUUAUAUUAGGAAUAAGCAUCUAUAUAGUUAUAUCUCAAAGUUUGUUUGCCCUAAGUUAGAGUACAUACACUGGCAAAAGAUUGAGAUGAUUUAAUAUGCACGAUUCCAUUAAAUUUUUCAUGACUACGUCACAUGGUGUGUGUCUGUUAAAAGAAAAAUCCACUGCAACAAAAGAAGAAAUGUAUUGCAUGAAUAAGAUUCCAUAUGCAACUGCAAUUGGAUCUGCCAUGUAUGUCAUAUUGUGCGCUCAACCAGAUAUCUUGUAUGCUUUGAAUACAACGAGAAGGUACUCAUGUGAUCUCAGUGGUAUUCAUUGGGUUGUUGUCAAGAAUAUCCUUAUGUACUUGAGAAGAAAUAAGGAUGCAUUAUUGGUAUAUGGAGGUUAUAAAGAGUUUGGUAUAACAUGUUACAUUGAUGCUAGAUUUCGAACAUAAGGAUGACUCCCAAUCGCAAUUUGAUUAUGUGUUUUGGCUAAAUGGUGGCCCUAUGAGUUGGGAGAGAUCAAAGCAGAAACCGUUUGUUAAUUCUACCGUAGAGGUUAGUUUAUUUUCAUUUCAAAUGUACCAAAAAUUUGUUUGGAUCAAGAAGUUUAUUACUAAACUUGGUACAACUCCUAGCAUUAUGGUUCCUAUUGAUCUAUAUUAUAGUAAAUAAAUGUCACCAUUCUGUAAUCUAAACAGCCUAGAUUUCACCAGCAGUCCAAACACAUACUUAGGUGUUAUGACUUCAUUAAGGAGAAUAUGUGAAGAUAUUAAAAGUACCAAUACUUGACAAUGUUCUAACUCAUUCACAAAGUCGUUUACUCAAUAGAAGCAUGAUGGGCAUACUAGAUUUAUGGGUAUUAGUUAUAUGUUUGAUUGACUCUAGUGAUAUAAGUAGAUUAUUGGUGUAAGCCGUAUAUUUCAAUGGUUUUAUGGUUGAAUUUAAAAUUUAUAUCAUGUUAAUUAUUAAUAAUAAAAAGACUUUUAUUUAUUAUGUUUGUUUUAAAAGUAAUAAAGUCCUUGGAAUAUUUGAUCUAUUUAAUGGAGAAUUAAGUGUGACUUAAACGCGUGACACCAUUAAAUAUAAGGAUGUCACUCUUAAAGCAUCCAUAGUCAAGCCUUACAUGCAAAUUGGACAAUAACAAUUCAUAUAAUGAUGACCAUAUCUCACAAGUCAAGGAUAUGAUAUAUCAAGUCUUUAGGUAGGUAUAAAUAUUAGGAGUAAUAUUUAAACUGGAACGGACUUUCAUGAGAAUCAUAUAUGGUAUGUUAUAUAUGUGUCAUAAGUUAUUCUCACAGUAAUAAUGGUUUAUUCCACCCUUUGGCUUGAAAGCAUUAUGGUCCAUGUUGAACAAGUGACUUCAAGCACAAGAGGGUGUGAAUUGUGAUAUUUAAAAUUUGUGAUUAAUUUUAAACCUUUCUCGACUAACACCGUGUUAGUAAUUUCAAGUGAGUAAUUUGUAGUAGAUAUAUAGUCCUAAAAGUAAAUUGCGGAAAGUAAAAGGAUAGGGUUAGAAAUAUUGCCCCGGAGAUUUAUACAGGUAUGGUCGAACGUUGGCCUAGUCUCAUCCCCAAGAGGCCUUCUAGAGAGUUAUGACUAUAAACUUUUGAGGUUUUCAAGAAUAUGACCACGAACUUUGAGACAAUAUGACCUAUAGAUUUAGACAGGCUUAUCCCCAACCAAUGACAGCUUUUACCCCAGGAUAAGCUAAUGAACCGUUUAGAUACUUAUGGCUUAUCUCAAUAACAAGAAUAAAGCUUUUUCCGGCAAAGCUUAAGAACUCAAAUUCAAAUAUUUUAUGACAUGUUUAUCUCAAGAACCAAACUCAAUCUCUUAGGAGUAUCACACUCUUAAAAAUAUAAAUGACCAGCAUAAUCACUUACAAAAAGGCGCCUUUAAUUUUUAUAGUUUUUAUGUCGGACAUGUUCCCUCGAUUUUUAAGAAAGCCGAGAUAAAAACUCUCUAAAAAAAUUUGUAUUCCUUUAGUUUUAAUGUUAAUGUUAAGUCUCAUUCACUUUUUGUGUCCUAGCUAGCGAACGAUACUGAAACAUUAUUCUUCUCCAGCGAAUAAAAUUGAAACACCAUUAUUCUCCAAGGAGGAAGGAAUCUCAAACCUCAAACCAACACUUUUCUUUUAGUCUCAUCACAUUUAUGGUAUGUACAAAUUAUCCAUUAUUGGUGUGAUUGUUUGUUGUUGUUGUUGUUAUUGUUAUUUCUGUCAUCUUUGUUGUUGUUGUUGUUGGUAUUAUGGUCGUCGUUGAUGUUGUUGCCUCGUCCCCAAGAGGCCUUCUAGAGAGUUAUGACUAUAAACUUUUGAGAUUUUCAAGGAUAUGCCCACGAACUCUGAGACAAUAUGACCUAUAUAUUUUUACAGGCUUAUCCCCAAUCAAUUACAGCUUUUACCCCAGGAUAAGCUAAUGAACCGUUUAGAUACUUAUGGCUUAUCUCAAUAACAAAAAUAAAUUUUUUUCGGGCAAAGCUUAAGAACUCAAAUUCAAAUAUUUUAUAACAUGUUUAUCUCAAGAACCAAACUCAAUCUCUUAAGAGUAUCACACUCUUAAAAAUAUAAACGACCAGCACAAUCACUUACAAAAAGGCGCCUUUAAUUUUUAUAGUUUUUAUGUCAGACAUGUUCCCUCGGUUUUUAAGAAAACCGAGAUAAAAACUCUCUAAACAAUUUUGUAUUCCUUUAGUUUUAAUGUUAAUGUUAAGUCUCAUUCACUUUUUACGUUCUAGCUAGCGAACGAUACUGAAACACUAUUCUUCUCCAGCGAACGAAAUUGAAACACCAUUAUUCUCUAAGGAGGAAGGAAGAUCAAACCACAAACCAACACUUUUCUUUGUGUCUCAUCACAUUUCUGGUAUGUACAAAUUAUCCACUAUUGUUGUUGUUGUUUGUUGUUGUUGUUGUUGUUUCUGUCAUUUUCGUUGUUGUUGUUAUUGGCAUUAUGGCCGUCGUUGAUGUUGUUGCCUCGUUAUUGUUGUUGCGUUUAUGGUUUUUGAGACUUAUACGAUUCAUUUUUGUUGGUUGUGUACUAUUCUUAUUUUAUUUUCAGAAGUUGAAUGUGAUUACGGAUCAUAGUUGGAUGAAAUCCAGUAGAUUAAGUAAAGAGCAUGAGAAUGGAGUACUCACUUUCUUGAAUUCACAAGGAAAAAAACCUUCUUGACGAUAAUGGGAUUUUUUGGUGUCCUUGUAAAAUUUGUGGAAAUACACAAAAACAUCCAAGUGUUGUUAUAUUCAAUCAUUUAGGUUAUGAUGGAAUUAUUCAAAAUUACACGAGAUGGUUAUGGCAUGGGGAAGUGACAAAAAAGACCUUUGUCACAUAUAGUUGAAGAUGAUGAUGAAUUUAUGAAUGAUACUCUAGAAGACAUGAUUUGUGAUAUUAUAGUAGAUGCUUUCAAGAAAGCUAUUAUGGUAGAUACUUUGCAAAUAGACAUGGAAGAGUCAUUGUAUCUGGGAUGCGAAAGUUUUAUAAGAUUGUCAAAUGUGUUAAGACUAAUUAAUCUUAAGGCAAGAGGUGGGUGGACGAAUAUAAGUUUCACUGAAUUUCUUGAAUUGUUGAAAGAAAUGCUUCCAGAAGGUAACAUGUUGUUGAAUCGUAGUUAUAAGACCAAAAAGAUAUUGUGUCCAAUGGGUUUGACUAUGAAAAAAUACAUGCAUGUCGUAAUGAUUGCAUAUUAUACAGGAAAUAGUAUGAAAACUUGAAGGAGUGCCCGAGAUGUGGGGAGUCAUGCUAUAAGCAGAAGAAAAAUAAUGUUGAAGACAAUGACAGUAUAACUAGAAAGGGUGUUCCUUCCAAGGUGAUGUGGUACCUACUGAUAAUUCAAAGGUUCAAGAUAUUGUUACUAAGGUAAAUAAAGGAAAGAAUACUAGAUGGAACACAGAUGAAAGAGUGUUAAUGGGAACAUUCGCCAUGUAGCUGAUUCAUUACAAUUGAAGAAAAUUGAUUCCCUGUUUCCAGAUUUUCCCUUGAACUGAGGGACCUUAGGCUUGGACUUUCCACUGUUAGAACGAACCCUUUUUGGUAAUUUGAAUACUAGCCAUACGUUAUUGCCUAUUCUUAUCAUAAUUUAUAACCUAUCUCCAUGGUUGUACAUGAAGCUUAAAUAUAUGAUGUUAUCAAUGAUGGUUCUUGGUCCAAAACAACCAGGAAAUGACAUAGAUGUUUAUUUAACACCAUUGAUUUAAGAUUUAAUACUUUUAUGGGAGGAAUGCAUUGAUAUUGAUGAGGCGUAUACAUGAGAAAACUUUAAAUUGUGUACCAUGUUAUUUUUCAUAAUCAAUGACUUUCCUGCAUACGGUAAUUUUUCUGGGUACAACGUCAAGAGACAUAAAGCAUGUCAGAUAUGUGACUUUGGUACAUGCCACCACCAAUUACAAAAUGGAAAAAAUAUUAUUUAUCUUGGGCAUCGAAAAUCUUUAAGAUCGAAGCUAGAAAUGUCAAUUCCUUGAGCUUCUAGAUCCUAAAGGUAGCAGACGAUGACCUCUGGGGGAUCGAUCUUAGAGAAGAGGUACAUACCAUCUAAUAACUCCUUGUGAUCCUUCAGAGCUUCCUAGGAGGUGUCCUUUGUGGGUUUGACUAUGACCUUGUCUAUUAUGCCCAUGCUCCUUAUAUUCUUCGCGUUCAGAGGCUUCCCCACGUCCAUAGUAACAUAUUUCAUCAUAUUCGGAGAUAUGAGAUGGUCCACCAGACCACUCUCAAUCAGCACGUCAAAAAUUAAUCUUCCUAGAGGUAUGUAAUUUUUGGGCUUCAUGUUAUUUCUAGUGUCUCUGACGGAAUCCCUCAGAUACUUGAAGAGGAGGGAGAGAAGAUUCAGCUUCAGCCCUUUGUGCAGAUAGUACAUAGUGCAAUUCUGGUUCGUGUUGAUGUAGUCAGAGGAGCUGGAAGCGGGAUGAUGAUGGAUUGUUUCCAUAAUGUUCUUCAACCAAACUCUCAGAUUUUGGUGAAGUUCUUUGUUCUUUGAGGUUCUCCCUUCUGGGUUCUGAGAGAAAAUAGUAGGGAUAAUUUCCCGGGACAUGUACUUUUCCCUAGGGUUAAUGUUGUAUAUCCUUCUUCCCCUAGCUUUUUCCAUGUCCAGAAGCUUGGCAAUUGAUUUCUCUAUGAUCACUGUCUUGAUGCCCAGGACAUAAGACACGGUGAAUCUUCAGAAUUCCUUCACCAGGAAGAUGUAAACGGGUCCAUAGAGACGUUUAAAGUACUUUUUCCACCCUUGAUUUUCCAGCUCUUCAGUUAAAUUUAUGCCAUUUUUCUUGAGGUUAUCAAAAUCAACCAAAAGUUCACAUAGUACUUCCAGUUUUUCAAAUGGUGUGGCAAGAUUGAUGUGAGGAGGACGAUCAAGAACAUGAGGUUCUUGAUAUGUGGUUGUUAAAGGCUUAGCAGUUUGGGUUAUAACUUGUUGUGGAGCUUCAAUAUUUUGCUCAACAACAUUUAUUUCUUGUGAGUAUUUGAACACUUGUUGUUGAGGAUUCAUGUUGUUGUUUGUUGAAGGAGAUGAAGUUGCAAAUAGGUUGAAGUUGCAGGGAAUUUGAAAGCAAGGAUUUAUGUAAGUUGUGAGAGUGAAAAGUGUGAAUAUGGGAAUCAUGGUAAUAUAUACAAGUUCAAAAACGCAUGCAAAACGACAUUGUUAGGUUAAAGAGGGGACAAAAAUAAUUAUGAUUGCUACAAUUUGAGUUGACAAGCGUGGGGAGAACUAAAUGCAGGUAAUGAUGGUUGCCUAAUCUCAAAAAUAUGCACACUGCUUGAGGGGAUCUCAAUAGUUUGACUCUUGAGUUUUGAGCUAGACAUUUGUCUAGAAGAUCCAAGGUCAUACGUUGGGGAGACCACAUGUUGAUGUUUCUAGAGUCAAGAAUACCAAAAGGUUUCUGACUUAGAAGGUUUCUGAUCCAGAUGUCUUCUAACUUAUAGAAGUAUCAAAACCAGAAUCAGAUAACAACAUAUGUUUACGUCAGAUUCUAGUUUAACAUUAGAGAGGAGAAGCACAUGUUCAGAUUCAUUUUGGGCAAUCUACAAUAUUUAAGUUUUUCAUAAUGAAAAGAAAUUUGUCUUCAGCUAAGGAUUUUGUAAAGAUAUCAUCCCAUUGAUGGUUUGUAUCUAUGAAUUUUUAAAAUAAUUAUCCCUUUCUGAACAUAGUCUCUAAUAAAAUGAUGUUUAAUUUUUAUGUGCUUCACUCUGGAAUGUAAAAUUGGAUUCUUACUUAAACAUAUAGAAGCAAUAUUAUCACAAAAGAUAGGGAUGUUACUCUCAUAAAUCUGAAAGUCCUCAAGCUGAUUCUUCAUCCAGAGCAUCUGAAUACUGCAUAGUGAAGCUAAAAUGUACUAUGCUUCUGCAGUGUACAGUGCAAUGGUUGAUUGUCUUUUGCCUGCCCAUGAGAUGAGAUUUUUUCCCAGAAACUGACAGUUCCCAUAUGUGCUUUUGCGUUCCAUCCUGUCUCCAGCGUAAUCUUCAUCAUAGUACCCAGAAAGCCUAUACUCUGAUGUUUUCUUAUACAUCAAGCCAAGGUUAGAUGUUCCUUUCAGAUACCUGAGGAUUCUCUUAACAGCAGUUACGUGAGAUUCCCUUGGAUCUUACUGAAAUCUAGCACAAAGACAUACGCUGAAUAAUAUAUCUGGAUCCGUAAUAGUUAGAUAGAGGAGAGAACCUAUCAUACCAGAGUAGAGUUUCUGACAAACCUUUUGACUUACCUCUUCUUUCUCUAGAAUGCAAGUAGGAUGCAUUGGAGUCUUGACUGGUUUGCUUUCUGACGUAUUGAAUUUCUUCAUAAGUUUUGGUUGAUUUGAAUCCCCAGAAAGAACUUUAGUUCUUGCAUCAGACUCAUCUCAAAUUUUGACUGCAUUAACUUAGAAAAUUCUUGACAAGUAGAGGGGUUAGCAGAACCAAAUAUUAUGUCAUCAACGUAUAUCUGAAAGAUCAUAAGAUUAUUUCUGAUGUUUUUACAGAAGAGAGUGGAGUCCACUUUGCCUCUGAUAGAAACAUUCUCCAGAAAGAAUGAACUAAGUCUUUCAUACCAAGCUCUGGGAGCUUGUUUCAGACCAUAAAGUGUUUUUUUCAGUUUAAAAAUAUGUUCUGGAAGUUUUGAGUUUUCAAAGCCAGGAGGCUGAUGAACAUACACUUCUUCGGAAAUAUAACCAUUCAGAAAUGCGUUUUUGAUAUCCAUCUGAUAUAACUUAAUGGAAUAAUUUACAGCAAAAGAUACAAGGAUACGAAUAGAUUCUAACCUUGCGACUAAGGCAACGAUUUCAUUGUAGUCAAUGCCUUCCUGUUGACUAUAACCUUGUGCCACAAACUGUGCUUUGUUUCUGACUACUUCACCCUUUUCAUUUAGUUUGUUUUUGUAAACCUAUUUGGUUCCAAUCACAUGGGUUCCCUUUGGUCUUGGUAAAAGAUCCCGAACAUCAUUCUUGGCAAAUUGAUCAAGUUAUUCUUUCAUUUCCAUAAUCCAUUCUUUGUCUUGAAGAGCUUAUUCACAGGAUGUUGGCUCUAUCAGAGAUACUAGUCUCAAAAGUGCUUCUUCAGAGACUUUAAAUGUUAAUCUUGUUCUGACAGGUUCAUUCUUGUUUCCCAGAAUCUGUUCUUCAGAAACAUUUUUCCAUAAUUCAUUCUUUGUUUUCACGUCUUUGUUUAACCAUUUCUUCUCUACUGUCAUAAAAAAGGUAAUGUUGGUUAGAAAGUACACUACUACUCCUUAAAAUAAGAUGAUCCCUAAUCUCUAUAUCGCUAGGGGACCCACCAUGUGCCUCCCUAAAAACACUUGUAAAAAAGCAAGCUCAUUGCUCAUCUCGAGCCGUUAUAGCAACAUCUAGAUCUGUAUAAGACCUGGUGAAGGAAGCAAGACAGGAAACCACCUCCCUAAAAUUAAAAUUGUUGGAGUUCCCCAUAUUAUUUUCAUCGGAAAAGUCUUUAGUACUUCCUUUAAUAGAAGCAUUGAAGGUUCCUUCACCACUCUCUAUCAAAUCUCCUCCAGAUCUAGAACUAUCACUAAGUACAGUAAAAUUGGUGUUUGAAUGGUUAAGUUUUAUGGGAACGACGUCUGGAACAUCUAGAUUCUCAUAUAUUGCUGAUAAUGGAAACUCUCGUCUAUGAAGGUCAUUCAUUACAUUCUUAAGAAUAUUUUCUAUGUUCACCAUAAUGAGUAUAAGAAAGCUAAGCAACAAAUGUAAGGGAAAAGGGGUUAGAAAUGAUACCUCCGUAAGAAGCUAAGUGAAGGAACAAUUAAGAACAAGAGAAACUUGAGAACAAGGAUGAAUCGAGAAAAAUGGAUCCGAAACAAAAAGAAAAGAUGGCAAGAUUAGGAGUCACUGAAGCUUAUGGAUAAAAGGUUUGUAGAGAAAUAUUAGCUUUAGUAAUGAGAGGAAAUAAAAAUUGUUUGAAAGGUCGAGAUAACAUUUAUAUAAGGAAACAAGGUAGGUGAAUCAAUGUUGCAGAAUGAAAAAAAAAAGACAAGACAAGAAAAUUAGCGGUUAUCACCUCAAAAAUAUAACAAAACAUGAGUGUACUUGAGCACUCUAGAAGAAAAUGUCACACCCUAACCUAAAAACCUAGGACCACAUAUGAAAGAGAACCUGCAAAACGUCUGAAUGAUAUUACUAUCAUUUAAUGCAGUUGUUCCAUAUCUCUUCCACUUCUCAAUACAAGAUCCCAACUAAACGUACCCGACUCAAUUCCUUGAAAGACUUUUCGUACAUCACACUAUAACAACCAUCGAAGGCAACUGUUAUGGGCUGAUCACAAGUCCAAUAUGUCACAGGCCCAAUGAUUGCUCAUUGAAUAUAAGGUAUAACUAGGGGUGAAAAUGGGUCUGCCCGUCCCAUUAAGGCCCUCUCCGCAAAAGCCCGUAAAAAAUAGGGCGAGCGGGACAGACAUGGUUAAGGGUGUGGACCAAAAACCUUAACCUGGCCCGGACAAACGUACGGGCCCGCGGGCACUACACCUUUUAGGCCUAAAAUGCAUAAAAUUAUGUUAAAGUUCAUGCCCGUAAAUGCUUGCAAAAAUCGGAGCAGGGCGGGGCAGGACAAACAUAUUAGAGGGUGACAAACUAAACUCUUGACCCGUCCCACACUUAAGUGUUGGCAAAACGGGUAUGCCCAAUGGAUUGGGUUUUGUCACCCCUAGUUAUAACCAACGCAUAAACACAAAAAAGAUAUGAUUCUAUUCAUAAUUCACUAUAUUUUGAUAUUCAUGUAUUAGCUUAAGUGUUAAAAUGAUAAUCAUAAAAGUCUUUCAAAAUGACUGUCGUUUUAGUAAAAAAAAUAUUUUAAAAUGAAUGUCAUUCUCACUUUUUAAUGUAGAAAUGAUUCCUAUUUUUUUAAUUUUGUCAUUUAAUUAUUAUUACUUUGUACACUGCUUUUAACAUAUUUAUAAGGUUAAUUUAAUAAAAGUAUAAUAUCUUACAAUAAGGGGUGUUCGCGGCCAAUUUGAUUCGAUUUUGGGAGAAUGCGAUGUUCAAACCGAUAAAAAAAAUAUAUGAUUUGGUUUGGAUUUGAUUUAUACAUUUUUGUGAUAAAGUCCAAACCGAACCAAACCAAUAAACAAAGGGUUAAUUUAGGUUGGUUUGAUCAGAUCCAUAUGUGUAUAAAAAUAUUCUUAAACAAUAUCUAAUCUACAUCAACUAAUUUUCCAAAAUAAUGUAAAAUUCUUAAAUUUUUUAGUUUUCUAUAUUGGUUGUGAAUAUCACAAAUGACAUUUUUUUCUUUUUCUUGAAGUUGAAUACCUUAUUCUAGUUUCUAUGAUUAUAAUGAUAUACGUUAAUUAUGAUUGAUUCGGGUGGAUGAAUAUGUUGAUAGAAUUUUUGAAUCUGUUAUCCGAUUUAAUUAACAUCGAAUUUCAUUGGUUUGAUUCGAACUUUUCUCAAACUAUAAAAUACUCGAACUAAAUAUCAUGGUUUAAUUUAAAUUUCGAUUUGAUUCAAAUGUUCUUUAACACGUAAAUAAAAAAAAAAAACAAUAUUAUUACAUUUAUUAAUCCUUAACCUGUGUGCCAAAACUUUAAAUGGAAAUUUAUUUUAAAACGGAAGAGUAAUCUAAACCACAUAAUCAUAAAUCCGCAUGAAGAAACAAACACUAUCUUACAAAUUUUGUACUAGUACUAAAGUUCAACUCGGAUUUAAAACCGAGUCUAGAAAGUAGUUCCAUGAAGAAGUAAAGUUUAGCGACAGAGUAGUAAUUAAUUUACCUCGAAAAGAGCAUAGUAUGACAUAAGCAGAGAUUUACGUGGUUGGGGCUGGUCUUGACGAUUCUUGUUGGGGUCAGUGAUAGUCGUAGUCAUAAAUUUUCACUGCAACAUCAUCGUGUUCAUAAAUACUGUAGUAAAAGCCUUAAUGCAUGGCUGAUGGUUGGUGUAGUUAGUAAAAUAAGAUGGUAGAUACAGUAGUGAGUAAUUGUACACUGUGAAGAUAGAAUAGAUUUGUUGGAGAAUAAAAAGAGAUGUCAUUGUUAUAGAAAAAGACAGAAAGGAAAGGAGAAAAAA
rnacentral:lncRNA from 1 species